AGAGUUUGAUCCUGGCUCAGGAUGAACGCUGGCGGUAUGCUUAACACAUGCAAGUCGAACGGUCUCUUCGGAGAUAGUGGCGGACGGGUGAGUAACGCGUAAGAAUCUACCUUCAGGUUGGGGACAGCCACUGGAAACGGUGGCUAAUACCGAAUGUGCCGAGAGGUGAAAGGCUUGCUGCCUGAAGAAGAGCUUGCGUCUGAUUAGCUAGUUGGUGGGGUAAAGGCCGUACCAAGGCGACGAUCAGUAGCUGGUCUGAGAGGAGGGUCAGCCACUGGGACUGAGACACGGCCCAGACUCCUACGGGAGGCAGCAGUGGGGAAUUUUCCGCAAUGGGCGAAAGCCUGACGGAGCAAUACCGCGUGAGGGAGGAAGGCUCUUGGGUUGUAAACCUCUUUUCUCAGGGAAGAAUGCAAUGACGGUACUUGAGGAAUAAGCAUCGGCUAACUCCGUGCCAGCAGCCGCGGUAAUACGGAGGAUGCAAGCGUUAUCCGGAAUGAUUGGGCGUAAAGGGUCCGCAGGUGGCAUUGUAAGUCUGCUGUUAAAGAGUCACGCUCAACGUGAUCAAAGCAGUGGAAACUACAAAGCUAGAGUGUGGUCGGGGCAGAGGGAAUUCCUGGUGUAGCGGUGAAAUGCGUAGAUAUCAGGAAGAACAUCGGUGGCGAAGGCGCUCUGCUAGGCCAAGACUGACACUGAGGGACGAAAGCUAGGGGAGCGAAUGGGAUUAGAUACCCCAGUAGUCCUAGCC
rnacentral:rRNA from 1 species